GGAAGUACCACCACGUGAGGAAGUACCGUCCAGUCAGACAUCCUCCUUCUUUAUUUCUGCCUGUGAACUAUUUAAACCGGCUGCAAACUGUUGUCCUAAUAUUAGCGAGGUUUCACACUGAAGCUUUGUGCUAAUAGCGCCACAUGUCAACAAAACCUCUCGCUUCCAACUCCGAAGGUCAAACUUCUACCUGAACCCGGAGGUCGAGCUGCAGUUUGCUGUCAGGCACCUCGUCUUGUACUAAACCGAUAAUACAGGUGAGGAGCCGCCGCUGCUUGUGUGAUGAGUUUGUUUCGAGAGGCGGAAAAUGAGCCGAGAACUGUCACAAGGCAGCCGGACGAACAGCGCAGGAGCAGCGGGCUCAUUAUACACACUUCUUCCCCUCGAUGGGUUCCUGCUUCCCGUUUUCCAGCGCGCGCCCCCACAUCCACCAACGUGAAUCACGCGAGAGUGAAGCCACGGCUUCCGCUCCGUGGUUUUCAAAAUAAUAGCAUCGAGCGUGGGGAUAAUUGCGGUGCAGGCUGAUGCCAGGCCCCGGGACAUGGACCUGUUUGUCGGUUGUUCCUAGAUGUAAACAACAGGUGCUCUUUUUGUGAUUUUCAGAGAGAAACUAUUAAAGAUGUUUUUAAAGAUGGUUUCCAUA